CGCACCUUGCACUCCUUGGUAUUCCGAGGAGUAUGCCUGUUUGAGUGUCAUGAAAUCAUCAACUUCAUAGUUUUGUUACUGUGAAGCUUGGACUUGGAAGCUGCUGGCUCUGUCGGCUCUUCUUAAAUACAUUAGCUGCUUGUCCGUGGGUUGGCUCAGAGUGUGAUAAGUAUCUGCACUUGGUGGCUGCUCGCUUUGGAUGUGGCUUCUAAUCGUCUUCGGACAACUUUUAAGAUCUGACCUCAAAUCAGGUAGGACUACCCGCUGAACUUAA
rnacentral:misc_RNA from 1 species